rnacentral:misc_RNA from 1 species
AAAGGUUGUGGCAGGAUUACUUGAAUGAAGAUACUAAAUUCUUUUCUGCUUUUCACUGAGAAUCUCAACUUUUGGUCAAGGUUUUUGGUUUAGAAUCAUGAUAACAUCUUUUUCAGGGUUUCCUAGACAUCAUGUUUAUAUUUGUUGCCCUUGCUUUUGGUUCCUUUUAACAUUCAAGUUUGUAGCUAAUUCCUUGAUUGAUUAGUUGGUGUAUGGUUAUUUAAAUUUGCAAUUCUUUGGACCGUGCCCUUCAGAUAUGUCUCCUAUCCAGUUUUUAUCAUAUGAUUAUUUAGAUGAUUUCACUAUUUU